rnacentral:lncRNA from 1 species
AGGCAGUGCCCAUGUCACAUUGUGCAACUUCUCCAAAGCCUUGGCUCUGAACACACAACCUGUGCACUUUGCACUGUGCAGGCUGUCACACCGUGCAACAAAGGAACACCUCCUGAAACACCUCCGAUGAGAAUCAAGACUGUUGUGUGCUAUACAUUGCAGUGACUGCUGUACAUAUAGUUUCUGGCUCUUAGAGAAACGUAAUGGAUUCAUUAUGGAAAAACAAAGACUUUCAAUAUUUUCUGGUCAUCACUCUUCAGCCGCCUUCUGACACCAACUUUCAAAGUUUUUAAGGAGGUGGACUGAAGAGAGAAUAGCGUGUGUGCUGCUCUUCCAGAGGACCUGAGCUCCCAGCAUCCUGAAACUGCAGUUCAAGGGCACCCAAUGUCUCUGGUCUCGGACCAGAGGAGACACGUGUACAUACAAAAAGGGAAAUUCUGAUAUGGAGAGAUCAGCGUGAAAAUCAGAGUUCAUUGACUCUUCUGCCCCUUUAUGUCUACCUUCAGGUACCCGUCAGGAGGCCUGGCCAGCCCAGUUGGUUCAUGUCAACUGCCCUAUUAAAGUUCAAGAUUCUGUUUGCCCACUUGGCUUUGGGCCAGCAUUCUUUGGUAACUAGGACUCAGCACAAUAUUUUUUAAAAGAAAAAAAA